GACAGAGGGUGCGAGCGUUAAUCGGAAUUACUGGGCGUAAAGGGUGCGUAGGCGGUUUAGUAAGUUGGAUGUGAAAGCCCUGGGCUUAACCUAGGAACGGCAUUUGAUACUGCUAAGCUAGAGUACAGUAGAGGGGAGUGGAAUUUCCGGUGUAGCGGUGAAAUGCGUAGAUAUCGGAAGGAACACCAGUGGCGAAGGCGACUCUCUGGACUGAUACUGACGCUGAGUCACGAAAGCGUGGGUAGCAAACAGG
rnacentral:rRNA from 1 species